rnacentral:rRNA from 1 species
UCUAGCUGCGGUCGAUUAGCCAUGCUAGUUGUACGAGUUGAGACUCGUAGCAGAUAGCUCAGUAACACGUGGCCAAACUACCCUAUGGAUCCAGACAACCUCGGGAAACUGAGGCUAAUCUGGAAUAGGGCUCUCAUCCUGGAGUGGAGAGAGCCUGAAAUGUUCCGGCGCCAUAGGAUGUGGCUGCGGCCGAUUAGGUAGACGGUGGGGUAACGGCCCACCGUGCCAGUAAUCGGUACGGGUUGUGAGAGCAAGAGCCCGGAGACGGUAUCUGAGACAAGAUACCGGGCCCUACGGGGCGCAGCAGGCGCGAAACCUUUACACUGCACGCCAGUGCGAUAAGGGGACUCCAAGUGCGAGGGCAUAUAGUCCUCGCUUUUUGCGACCGUAAGGUGGUCGCGGAAUAAGUGCUGGGCAAGACCGGUGCCAGCCGCCGCGGUAAUACCGGCAGCACGAGUGAUGACCGCUGUUAUUGGGCCUAAAGCGUCCGUAGCUGGCCGCGCAAGUCUAUCGGGAAAUCUCUCCGCUUAACGGAGAGGCGUCCGGUGGAAACUGUGUGGCUUGGGACCGGAAGACCAGAGGGGUACGUCUGGGGUAGGAGUGAAAUCCCGUAAUCCUGGACGGACCACCGGUGGCGAAAGCGCCUCUGGAAGACGGAUCCGACGGUGAGGGACGAAAGCUCGGGUCACGAACCGGAUUAGAUACCCGGGUAGUCCGAGCUGUAAACGAUGUCUGCUAGGUGUGACACAGGCUACGAGCCUGUGUUGUGCCGUAGGGAAGCCGUGAAGCAGACCGCCUGGGGAAGUACGUCCGCAAGGAUGAAACUUAAAGGAAUUGGCGGGGGAGCACUACAACCGGAGGAGCCUGCGGUUAAUUGGACUCACGCCGGACAUCUCACCAGCAUCGACAAUGUGCAGUGACGGUCAGUGUGAUGAGCUUACCUGAGCCAUUGAGAGGAGGUGCAUGGCCGCCGUCAGCUCGUACCGUGAGGCGUCUUGUUAAUUCAGGCAACGAGCGAGACCCGCACUCCUAAUUGCAGCAACACCCUUGGUGGUGGUUGGGAAUAGGAGGACUGCCGUGGCCAAACUGGAGGAAGACGGGCCACGGUAGGUCAGGUUGCCCGAAUGUGCCUGGGCGACACGCGGCUACAAUGGCAACGACACGUGGGAUCCACCCGAAGGCGAAGCCAACUCUCGGAACGUUGCGUGAGUCGGAAUGUGGAGGCUGAACUCGCCUCUCUGGAACUGGAUACCGAUAUAUAUCGCG